AUUGAACGCUGGCGGCAUGCUUUACACAUGCAAGUCGAACGGCAGCGCGGGCUUCGGCCUGGCGGCGAGUGGCGAACGGGUGAGUAAUACAUCGGAACGUGCCCAGUAGUGGGGGAUAGCUCGGUGAAAGCCGGAUUAAUACCGCAUACGACCUGAGGGUGAAAGCGGGGGAUCUUCGGACCUCGCGCUAUUGGAGCGGCCGAUGGCAGAUUAGCUAGUUGGUGGGGUAAAGGCCUACCAAGGCGACGAUCUGUAGCUGGUCUGAGAGGACGACCAGCCACACUGGGACUGAGACACGGCCCAGACUCCUACGGGAGGCAGCAGUGGGGAAUUUUGGACAAUGGGCGAAAGCCUGAUCCAGUAAUGCCGCGUGUGUGAUGAAGGCCUUCGGGUUGUAAAGCACUUUUGGCGGGAACGAAAAGGACUGUGCCAAUACCACGGUUCGAUGACGGUACCCGCAGAAUAAGCACCGGCUAACUACGUG
rnacentral:rRNA from 1 species